rnacentral:lncRNA from 1 species
AACUCUGAGCAAGUCAAAACAACCGUCAGCAGCGGGAAACCUCGAUGAACAAACACCGGGAGAGUGGUGAGUAGCUGCCAGGAAAGCCCCAGCCUCCGGCAGGAAAGGGACUCUGGGCGGGGCGGCCCCAGAGAGAAAGUGGUUAGAUGUACGGACAGAGGGAUGACAGGGCUGGCCAGGCAGUGCUGCCUGCAGGCUGUGCAGUUGGCCUGGGGGUCUGGAGCCUCCGGGACCCACAGAUGCGCCCGCACCCUCAUCCCUGGCUUCUUUCGGCCCCACAGCGGGGCAGCAGCACUGCUGUCCUAGCCACGCCAGGCGCCAGUGUGGCCUGGUAAAGGCCUCGUGCAUUCUGUCCUGCUGGUGGGGGAGGCUGGCCUCUCAUGCGCUUGUCCUUAGAGGGCAGCAUGAAGAUGCCGCGCCCCACCGGGGAGACGAGGGGAGUGGACCCCUCAUGAGAUCCAGGCCGCAUGAGGCAGGGGCUGCCAUGACAGGAUACUGCAUGCGGGGGGCCUCAUGCAGCAGAAGUGGACUCUCUGAGUCCUGGGGCCAGACUUCAAAAUCAAGGUGUCGGCAGGGCCACCUCCUGCUGAAGGCUCCAGGAGAAAACCCUUCCUGCCGCUCCUAGCUUCCGGUGGCCCAGGCAGUCCUUGGCUUGUGUCCGCAUCGCUCCAGUUCUCUGCCUCCGUCUCACGUGACUGUGUCUCUGCACCUUUCCCCCUUCUCAGAACGUGUCCUUGGAUCUCAAGUCCACCCUCAUCCAGGAGGCUUUCAUCUCAAAAUCCUUAACUUAAUCCCAUCUAUCUGCAAAGACCCCUUUUCUAAAUCAGGUCCCAUUCUCCAGUUCCUCGGGUUAGGACCUGGACAAAUCUUUUGGGGGUGUCGUUCAUCAUCCAACUGCACUUGGCAUGGGAAGGCCCCCCUCCUGCCCCCUGGAUCUGCCUGUGAGCACAGGGGUCCCCUGGGGGUGUCCAGAGUGAGAACAAAUUCCGUCUGGGACAGAGCUGGCAGAGGCCCCGGACGCUGGCCUCCCGAGCGGGGUUGUGAUGUUGGACCCUGUUCUCAACACCAGGCCCACGCCACCAAUUCGUGCUUCUGUCUGGGCCAGGCUUCCCCGUCCCCCUGUCCCAGUCUCAGGAGGGUGUCUGCAGCAUUCCCAGGGGAGUUCCAGGAGGCCCAUGGCCCCUCCUGUACAGCCCUCCACCGCCCAGAGCCUUCCAGCGCCGUGUCUUCCCCUUGGAGCAUCUGGAGGCCCCAGACAGCACCCGCCUGACGUUCAGCAGAGGGGGAGACCGAGGCCUGCAGCAGAGUGUUUUGUCAGAUGCUGCUCCCUGACCGGGAGUGAGAGGGAACCCACCUAGAGGUGCCAGAUGGGGUGCCAGGGCAGCGUGGCCUGCAGGCCCCUCAGCUCCUCACAGCCCCUGCCCCCAGCCUUCCUGGGCCCAGAGAUCCCCUUGUUUACCCUAGUCCAGGGACAGAGGCUCAGAUGUCAUGCUUGACCCCACAGGUACAGGGUUAGGGGUGAAGGUGGCUGUCUCUUCAUGUCUUCACCAUGGCUUCUCUGCCUUCCUCCUGCUCCUGGUGGCUUAUGUCCUGCCGCUCUUGAUACGCGACUGUGGUCUGUCCUGGGAUGGUUAUGAUGCAUAUGUGCUAUUGUUGUGAACUGUAACAUUGAGGUCUGGCCUUACGGUUGGUUUUGAUUGUCCCUUCUGCUCCCUUUUCUUAUUUUAAUAUUUUACCAUUUUCCAUUUUAAUGUAUCUGUUGUCUUUUUUGGCUAAAUCUCUUUUCAGUUUUAUUUUACUGUAUAUCUUUUCUAAGUGAUUGCUUAGAGAUUACAAUAUACUAAACCUAGCCUUUCACAGUUUCUGCAGAUCCUGCUUUGUGACUUCGAGUGAAGUGUGGAAGCGCUGGAAGCACUUAGACCCUGCCUAGGUGCCGCAGACCCCUGGGAGGCACCAACACCCCGGAUCGAGAAGCCCGAUGGGAAAGAAUGUCUGGGAAGGACGUCAUGCCCGAGGCUUGCGUGACAGUUUCCACUCACAGUGCGCUCACUCUGAACCUCUGUGCACACGAUGGGCCUGCAUCUCUUCCCACUAUCUGCUAGGAAACACGAGGCUUACAGAGCAGGACCUGCAGGAGCUCGCUGACUGCCUGCACAGUGGAAGGAAGACCUGUUUCUUUUACUUUCCUUGAGGAGAAAAAAUUAAAGUUCUGAGCAAACGCACAUACCACACACCCCAUAUACACACAACACACCACACACACACACAAUACGGCUCUGCAAGGAAACGUGUGAGGGGUGUGGUGUGUGUGCACUGUGUGUGAGGUGUGUGGUGUGUGUGAAAUGUAUGUGUGAGGUAUACAGUAUGUGUGUGAGGUAGUGGGAAGGAAAUGACCGCAGAAGGGAGUGCACCGUGGGGGCAGGAGGUGCUGCGGCCAAUGGGCAGUGCUGGGAGAUGAAACCAACAGCGGCGAUUGCCCCAGAAAGAACUUGGCGCUGCUAAGGCAAUGGCGGCCCGAAAGAGGCCCCUGACGCAUGAGGAGCGGCCGCCGUCUCCAGCCCCAGGCCUCCCUCCCCUGUGUUUCCCGCAGCCCCCUCUGGAGUCUCUCCCCCGCCCCGCACGUGUAGGGAGACCCCGGGAAAGUGGGCCGGUUAUAAUUGCAAAAAAUAAACCGUCAGUAGCCACAAUAUCUUAUAAACGUAAAAGUAAUCUGAAAACCUACUUCAGUUAGAGAACAUGAGAACCGUCAAGAAGUUCAUGGACUCAGGAGGACGUCGUGAGCAGUGCUGAGGUCAUGGAAUGUGGGCUGGGACCUUGUGUUUGGUGACAUCCUGUAAGUACUCGGCUCGCUCAAGCUAACUGCCCGGCUGGGAUCACCGCUCUAGGAGGACUCAAGAGUUCAGAUGAGUGGCCCAGGGGCCCGUCAGUGCUGUGCACCUCUCCCCCCAUGGGUGGGGGAGGAGCCUGGGGACUUGGCCAGUCCUGGAGGAGCCCUGAGACCAGGCCCUGUGGUGGGCACCACGGCACGGGGAGGUGCCUGGAGGGCUGGAGCCCACUUGGGGGGCCAUGGUCAGUCAGGGCUGCAGAAGCAGAGAAAUGCGGGAUGCCCAUGCUGGCUGGGACUCGCCCACUGCCCUGCACAUGGCGAGUGAGGGAGAGAGGCAAGGCACCUUUCCAGGGGUGCAUGGGAGGCUGCGGUCAAAGGUCCUGCACACCCGCAUGCGUGCUCACAUCUGUAGCUGCAGACACUGACCCCCAGAGACCCCCGAGCUCAUGUGGGGCUGGUGUAGGCGUGGGGUGGACGCUGGGGCAGUGUGGGCUCCUCCUCCUC